rnacentral:rRNA from 1 species
UGCAGUCGAAGGAGAACCAUUCGAUCCGUAAGGACCGAAUGGGGAAACCGGCGAACGGGUGCGUAACACGUGAGGAACCUGCCCCGAAGACCGGGAUAGCCCGAGGAAACUCGGAUUAAUACCGGAUACCCUCUUUGGACCACAUGGUCCGCUGAGGAAACGGUCCGCCGCUUCGGGAUGGCCUCGCGGCCUAUCAGCUUGUUGGUGAGGUAACGGCUCACCAAGGCAAAGACGGGUAGCUGGUCUGAGAGGACGAUCAGCCACACUGGGACUGAGACACGGCCCAGACUCCUACGGGAGGCAGCAGCAGGGAAUAUUGCACAAUGGGCGAAAGCCUGAUGCAGCGACACCGCGUGCGGGAUGAAGGCCCUCGGGUUGUAAACCGCUUUCAGGAGGGACGAAAAUGACGGUACCUCCAGAAGAAGGCCCGGCCAACUACGUGCCAGCAGCCGCGGUAAUACGUAGGGGCCAAACGUUGUCCGGAUUUAUUGGGCGUAAAGGGCUCGUAGGCGGUUCAACAAGUCGAUCGUGAAAGCCCGGGGCUCAACCCCGGGACGCCGGUCGAAACUGUUGUGACUAGGGUCCGGUAGAGGUGAGUGGAAUUCUCGGUGUAGCGGUGGAAUGCGCAGAUAUCGAGAGGAACA